rnacentral:rRNA from 1 species
GGGACUCAUCCGAGGCCCCGUAAUCGGAAUGAGUACACUUUAAAUCCUUUAACGAGGAUCCAUUGGAGGGCAAGUCUAGUGCCAGCAGCCGCGGUAAUUCUAGCUCCAAUAGCGUAUAUUAAAGUUGUUGCAGUUAAAAAGCUCGUAGUUGGUUCUGUGUUCCACGCUGUCGGUUCACCGCAUGUCUGUGUAACUGACAUGUCGUGGGACGUCCUGCCGGUGGUAGUUAAACGCCAGGUGUUCUAGGUCUUGUGGACUUGUUCCAUAGACUUGGAGCCAGCUGGUUAGUUUAAAUUACCGAGCGCACUUACCCGCCCUGGUGCUCUUUACUGAGUGUCGAGGAGGGCCGGCACAUUUACUGUGCACAAAUUAGAGUGCUCAAGGCAGGCAAAAUUACGCCUAAAUAGUGGUGCAUGGAAUAAUAGAAUAAGACUUUGGUUUUAUUUUGUUGGUUUUUUGAACCUAAGGUAAUGAUCAAUGUGGACGGUCGGGGGCAUUCGUAUUGCGACGUUAGAGGUGAAAUUCUUGGAUCGUCGCAAGACGCACAAGAGCGAAAGCAUUUGCCAAGUAUGUCUUAAUUGAUCAAGAACGAAAGUUAGAGGCUCGAAGGCGAUCAGAUACCGCCCUAGUUCUAACCAUAAACGAUGUCAGCCAGCGAUCCGUCUGGUUUUAUAUCAUGACUCGACGGGCAGCUUCCGGGAAACCAAAGCUUUUGGGUUCCGGGGGAAGUAUGGUUGCAAAGCUGAAACUUAAAGGAAUUGACGGAAGGGCACCACCAGAUGUGGAGCUUGCGGCUUAACUUGACUCAACACGGGAAAUCUCACCAGGCCCAGACAUU